ensembl:lncRNA
CGGAGUAAGUAAAAGAAGAAAAAUAGAUACUGAUCAUCUUUAAUGUAGGAGCAAGUUCUGAGGUCUUUAGCAUUCUUUUGUUCUGUGUUUGUGCACCACUUAGAGAUUGUGUGGUACUGAUCUGCGCACUGUGAUAAGCCCCUAGACAUCUUUCUUGAAGGCAAUUGAAUGCUGAAAGACUGACAGCACAAUGAUGCUGUAUUUACUGGCACAUGGAUCUUGCAGCAGUAUUCUCAUGCCACCCUUUGAUUUCCAGAGCAGAAACCACCUUUUGGCAUGAAGUUGUGUUGCCACAGGCAGAGACUCUGGGCUCUCCCCCACAGCCACAAGUGAAGGAAGCUUUGGGCUUGUGGGUGCAAGCACAGAAGCUGGACCCCCAUGAUUACGGUAAACUUGUCAAUCAGUGCCCAGAGGCAGUCAACACAAUGCAGUUGUGCCAGAUACGUAGAGUGACUUGCCAAGAUACUCUCUCUGCAUCACUGAGAUACAAGGAGCCUGAUCCUCCUGCCAGCUUGUGCCCCAGGCUCUGCAAAUCUGUGCCUUUCAGAAGUCCAUGGUUGCCUUUCCUUUGCCAGCAGGGAUAAGUAACAGCAAGUGGGCUGGGGAGCUCUCUCAGAUCUGAUUUUUUGG